GACGAACGCUGGCGGCGUGCUUAACACAUGCAAGUCGAACGGUGAAGCGCCUUCCUUUUUGGUGGGUGUGGAUGAGUGGCGAACGGGUGAGUAACACGUGAGUAACCUGCCCCCUUCUUCUGGAUAACCGCAUGAAAGUGUGGCUAAUACGGGGUAUUCUGGGUCUGUCGCAUGAUGGGUCUGGUCAAGAUAUUGUUUCGGUGGGGGAUGGGCUCGCGGCCUAUCAGCUUGUUGGUGGGGUGAUGGCCUACCAAGGCGGUGACGGGUAGCCGGCCCGAGAGGGUGGGCGGUCACACUGGGACUGAGACACGGCCCAGACUCCUACGGGAGGCAGCAGUGGGGAAUAUUGCACAAUGGGCGCAAGCCUGAUGCAGCGACGCCGCGUGCGGGAUGGAGGCCUUCGGGUUGUGAACCUCUUUCGCCAGUGAAGCAGGCCUGCCUCGUUUGUGGGUGGGUUGACGGUAGCUGGAUAAGAAGCGCCGGCUAACUACGUG
rnacentral:rRNA from 1 species